rnacentral:lncRNA from 1 species
AAAUGAUAUCUGAGUGAUACUUGUGGGGUAAGAAGCCAAGUUACUAAGGGGGGACAUAUAUUUAACAAUGGUUCCCUUUUCACUGGGGAGAAAGCAGUGUCAGACAUCUUAGGAGGAUGAUCAUGUUUUAAGUGAUUUUAGCGACAUUUAUGAAAGACUUUAUUGCUGUGAAAAGGACUUGUUAAAGCUUUGUUUAGUUUAGGUCAGUGUACCAAUCAAGAUCAAGAGUAUGGCAAUUUGAGCUGGGAUUAUCUAUUAAUUUCAGGUAUAUUUCACUAGCUACAGUGCACUCCUUAGGCACCACCUGUAGUUAUGGGAGAAAAAGCAGAGCUAUCAGGGUCUCAAUUAUCUGAUCCUUCCCAAAAGUCCACCUCUGAGUAGUACAGCAUUAACUGCAUACUCAAAAGAGCUGUUUAGAUCUUGCUUUUGGUGCUCUCUGUGCUGAAUCCAGAAGAGACAACUGAUAAAGGGGUGAAAUUACAGGGAGGCUGGGACUAGAUAAAGGGGUGAGAAUCAAUUUAUACUAACAAUAAAAAAUAUAUUUUGAAAUAGAAUUAUGAUAGCACCCUGCUGCUCCACAGCAUUUGCAUGGAAGGCUCCCUCAGGUUUGAAAAGCAGCCUCUCUUUAUUCCUCACCCAAUUCCCACAAAUGAUGUAAGACAACUGCUCCGUUUCAUAGGCUGGAAAAGGUUGGAGACAACAUUUCCAGGCAUGCUUGUGCACUGCAGGUGGCACUGCAUGCUGCUCUGGUGAGAAAUGGACACACUGACAGCUGCUUCUGAUUUGUCCUCCAGGGAGAUUCAGCUCCUAACAUCUGUCAAAACAAACAGGACUCUGGCUAUGGAUUUCAACAGACUUCUAAUAACAGAAGGACCUGGUGUGUUUCUGAAGAAAUCUGUGGUUAGCUUGCUGUACUCCAUCACCCUCCAAAUAUUUUCUCGGUAUUUUUUAACUAACAGUUUUGAAGUGACUAUCUGCAGAGUUUCUCUGCUUCUGUGCUUAUUGCACUAACACACACCAAGUACUGUAAAAUUUGAGAUGUUGCAGAGGCAUGAAUAAAUAGCUCCAGAAAAACA